CUGACGGUCCUAAGGUAGCGAAAUUCCUUGUCGGGUAAGUUCCGACCCGCACGAAUGGCGUAACGAUUUCCCCGCUGUCUCCAGCAUCACCUCAGCGAAAUUGAAUUCCCCGUGCUGAUGCGGGGUACCCGCGGGUAGACGAAGAGACCCCGUGCACCUUUACUAUAGCUUUACAUUGGUGUUAGGGAUGCGAUGUGCAGGAUAGGUGGGAGACUUUGAAACUGGGGCGCCAGCUCCAGGGGAGUCGUCCUUGAGAUACCACCCUUUGUGUUUUUGACAUCUAACUAGGCUCCAUUUUUCUGGAGCUAGGACAUUGUAUGGUGGGUAGUUUGACUGGGGCGGUCGCCUCCUAAAGAGUAACGGAGGCGUGCGAUGGUAGGCUAGAGCUGGUCGGAAAUCAGCUUUUAUAGUACAAUGGCAGAAGCCUGCCUGACUGCGAGGCCGACGGGCCGAGCAGAGACGAAAGUCGGUCAUAGUGAUCCGGUGAUUCCGAAUGGAAGGGUCAUCGCUCAACGGAUAAAAGGUACGCCGGGGAUAACAGGCUUAUGGUGUCCAAGAGUUCAUAUCGACGACACCGUUUGGCACCUCGAUGUCGACUCAUCACAUCCUGGGGCUGGAGCAGGUCCCAAGGGUUCGGCUGUUCGCCGAUUAAAGUGAUACGUGAG
rnacentral:rRNA from 1 species